GUGACAUUAAAACAGGAAUUGUCAUCACCAAUAGACGAAUUUCACAUUCCUAAGAGUUUUCUCCAAUUGGCGGCGUAUCGCUCAUUUUUCCCACUUUGUCCUUUGUCCUGUUCUGUGGAUGCCCUAAGACAGUGUCUACCCAUCACUCCAUCUGAAAUCACUUGUUCUGUGCAUAUUUCUCUCUCAGACUUAAACUACAGAGAGCCUGUGGAUAGAGGAUGAAGAGUGACCUUGGACUAAUUUUCUAGGUCAAAGAUCAUAGGUGAUGUGAAGAAAACCAGGAAACUGAUGUUGAAAGAAGUACUUAAUGACCCUUAUGAAUGGACUUAAAUGUGAAAGACUGUUCCAUUGUUUAUCUAAGAUAUAUGAAUUUAUUUAAUAUUUUGAUAUCAUUGAAAAAUUCAGUUACAGUUUUUGUACAUCAAAUGAAUUAUUAAACAUAUAAAAUGGUAA